GAGCAUACAAGUAGACCUUGCCUGACUGUGCUUGUAGCCAGGCAAGGGGGACAGCAUAUGCUAUAGUAAUUGGUGUUUGUGCCAGCUCUAGCCAGCUUAAUCAGUGGCUGGAUAAAUUGCAGUGCUCCAACAUUC
ensembl:snoRNA